rnacentral:rRNA from 1 species
GGCUAACGCUGGCGGCGUGUCUUAGCCAUGCAAGUCGAGCGGACUUAUGGGGUAACUUAUAAGUCAGCGGCGGACGGCGGAGUAACACGUAGCUAACCUACCCUCUGGACGGGGAUAACCUACCGAAAGGUGGGCUAAUACUCGAUGUAGUCAUCCUGUAUAGGGGUGAUGAAAGGUGGGCUUCUGUUUACAAGCUCAUGCUGGAGGAGGGGGCUGCGGCCUAUCAGGUAGUUGGUAGGGUAAUAGCCUACCAAGCCGAUGACGGGUAGCCGGCCUGAGAGGGUGACCGGCCCGAGGGGCACUGAGAUACGGGUCCCACUCCUACGGGAGGCAGCAGGCUAGAAAUUUGGGCAAUGGGGGAAACCCUGACCCAGUGACGCCGCGUGCAGGAAGGAGCCCUUCGGGGUGUAAACUGCUGUCGUGUAGGGAGAAGGGUACUAAGGUGAACAAUCUUAGUACUUGACGGUACUACAGGAGGAAGCCCAGGCUAACCUCGUG